CGAAUGCUGACAUAAGUAACGAUAAAGCGGGUGAAAAGCCCGCUCGCCGGAAGACCAAGGGUUCCUGUCCAACGUUAAUCGGGGCAGGGUGAGUCGACCCCUAAGGCGAGGCCGAAAGGCGUAGUCGAUGGGAAACAGGUUAAUAUUCCUGUACUUGGUGUUACUGCGAAGGGGGGACGGAGAAGGCUAUGUUGGCCGGGCGACGGUUGUCCCGGUUUAAGCGUGUAGGCUGGUUUUCCAGGCAAAUCCGGAAAAUCAAGGCUGAGGCGUGAUGACGAGGCACUACGGUGCUGAAGCAACAAAUGCCCUGCUUCCAGGAAAAGCCUCUAAGCAUCAGGUAACAUCAAAUCGUACCCCAAACCGACACAGGUGGUCAGGUAGAGAAUACCAAGGCGCUUGAGAGAACUCGGGUGAAGGAACUAGGCAAAAUGGUGCCGUAACUUCGGGAGAAGGCACGCUGAUACGUAGGUGAAGUCCCUUGCGGAUGGAGCUGAAAUCAGUCGAAGAUACCAGCUGGCUGCAACUGUUUAUUAAAAACACAGCACUGUGCAAACACGAAAGUGGACGUAUACGGUGUGACGCCUGCCCGGUGCCGGAAGGUUAAUUGAUGGGGUUAGCGGUAACGCGAAGCUCUUGAUCGAAGCCCCGGUAAACGGCGGCCGUAACUAUAACGGUCCUAAGGUAGCGAAAUUCCUUGUCGGGUAAGUUCCGACCUGCACGAAUGGCGUAAUGAUGGCCAGGCUGUCUCCACCCGAGACUCAGUGAAAUUGAACUCGCUGUGAAGAUGCAGUGUACCCGCGGCAAGACGGAAAGACCCCGUGAACCUUUACUAUAGCUUGACACUGAACAUUGAGCCUUGAUGUGUAGGAUAGGUGGGAGGCUUUGAAGUGUGGACGCCAGUCUGCAUGGAGCCGACCUUGAAAUACCACCCUUUAAUGUUUGAUGUUCUAACGUUGGCCCCUAAUCGGGGUUGCGGACAGUGUCUGGUGGGUAGUUUGACUGGGGCGGUCUCCUCCUAAAGAGUAACGGAGGAGCACGAAGGUUGGCUAAUCCUGGUCGGACAUCAGGAGGUUAGUGCAAUGGCAUAAGCCAGCUUGACUGCGAGCGUGACGGCGCGAGCAGGUGCGAAAGCAGGUCAUAGUGAUCCGGUGGUUCUGAAUGGAAGGGCCAUCGCUCAACGGAUAAAAGGUACUCCGGGGAUAACAGGCUGAUACCGCCCAAGAGUUCAUAUCGACGGCGGUGUUUGGCACCUCGAUGUCGGCUCAUCACAUCCUGGGGCUGAAGUAGGUCCCAAGGGUAUGGCUGUUCGCCAUUUAAAGUGGUACGCGAGCUGGGUUUAGAACGUCGUGAGACAGUUCGGUCCCUAUCUGCCGUGGGCGCUGGAGAACUGAGGGGGGCUGCUCCUAGUACGAGAGGACCGGAGUGGACGCAUCACUGGUGUUCGGGUUGUCAUGCCAAUGGCACUGCCCGGUAGCUAAAUGCGGAAGAGAUAAGUGCUGAAAGCAUCUAAGCACGAAACUUGCCCCG
rnacentral:rRNA from 1 species